rnacentral:rRNA from 1 species
AGUGAACGCUGGCGGUAGGCCUAACACAUGCAAGUCGAACGGCAGCACAGUAGGAGCUUGCUCUUACGGGUGGCGAGUGGCGGACGGGUGAGGAAUACAUCGGAAUCUACUUUUUCGUGGGGGAUAACGUAGGGAAACUUACGCUAAUACCGCAUACGACCUACGGGUGAAAGCAGGGGAUCUUCGGACCUUGCGCGAUUGAAUGAGCCGAUGUCGGAUUAGCUAGUUGGCGGGGUAAAGGCCCACCAAGGCGACGAUCCGUAGCUGGUCUGAGAGGAUGAUCGGCCACACUGGAACUGAGACACGGUCCAGACGCCUACGGGAGGCAGCAGUGGGGAAUAUUGGACAAUGGGCGCAAGCCUGAUCCAGCCAUACCGCGUGGGUGAAGAAGGCCUUCGGGUUGUAAAGCCCUUUUGUUGGGAAAGAAAAGCAGCAGGUUAAUACCCCGCUGUUCUGACGGUACCCAAAGAAUAAGCACCGGCUAACUUCGUG